CAACAUGUACUCAAGACCACAUUUUCAUAAGUUCGGUAUACACCCUUCUAACUACUGUUUCCUUGGUUCCUGGGGACACCUUUCCCCAGCAGAGGAGGGUUAUUCUCCUAUUAAGGAUCUAGAAGUACUUGUGUUUCCCUCUUAAGGUACAUACUCAAGGUAGUUCCAAUACUUCCAAGACUCCAGCCACAUUCAAAUGAGGCACUGAAUGUUGUAGUUUCCUUUAUUU
rnacentral:snRNA from 1 species